rnacentral:rRNA from 2 species
UUACAAUGGAGAGUUUGAUCCUGGCUCAGGAUGAACGCUGGCGGUAUGCUUAACACAUGCAAGUCGAACGGAGCUUUUCGGAGCUUAGUGGCGGACGG